rnacentral:rRNA from 1 species
UACGGAGGGUGCAAACGUUGCUCGGAAUCAUUGGGCGUAAAGCGCACGUAGGCGGUCCGGUAAGUCGGGUGUGAAAUCCCUCGGCUCAACUGAGGAAGUGCAUUCGAAACUGUCGGACUUGAGUAUGGAAGAGGGUCGCGGAAUUCCCGGUGUAGAGGUGAAAUUCGUAGAUAUCGGGAGGAACACCAGUGGCGAAGGCGGCGACCUGGGCCAAUACGUGACGCUGAGGUGCGAAAGCGUGGGGAGCAAACAGG